AUGAACGGUAUCUACUCGGUGGCCUCCGCUUAUAACGCACAAUUGUUGGACAAAACACUCUCCUCCAUGGACUAUAUGAUCUGGAAGGUUUGGGCACCACCUAACAUCAAAUUCUUUGCUUGGUUGGCCCUCCAAGAUAGAUUUGUAGAAGAGUUGGCCCUCCAAGAUCAAAUUCUUUGGUUGGUUGGCCCGCCAUGUGAAUUUGGACCGCCAAUAGAUUUGCCAAGCGGUGUUGGCUAA
rnacentral:rRNA from 1 species